rnacentral:pre_miRNA from 1 species
CCUCCGUCCUAAAAUAAAUAUAGUUUUGGACCAUUCGUCUUAUUUAAAAAAAUUUUAUGAUUAAUAUUUUUAUUACUAUUAGAUGAUAAAACAUGAAUAUUACUUUAUGUGUGACUAAAUAUUUUUAAAUUUUUAAUAAAUUUUUAAAUAAGACGGACGGUCAAAUGUUGGACACGGAUAUCCACGACUGCACUUAUU